CCAGACUGUCCAACGGCCGAUUUAAACUGAAGUCAUUUAAAGACUUGAGCUGGUACUAGCAGUGGGUAAGCGCCACAAAUGUCUCUGCCACAAGUGGCCAACUAGUACGGUGCUACCGGAAGAGCCGUAUCCCCACUCAGAGAGACGGUCUUCCGGUCUUCAGUUGUUGCGUGACAUAGCCCUCUUGAGUCCAGAGAAUAGACUCGAAUUUUGGACAGCAUCAGUCAUGUAAGUCACAUGACUGAUGCUGUUUCCGCCGUCGGCUUCAUCCCGGGUAUAUUACCAUAACGCGGCGCGAAAACAUGGCUGGUAGCAAUGGGUACGUGUGGACCAAUGAGGAGAGAGGAGAACAGGCCAACCUCUCUCCAUUUAGACAAAGAACUUACGGCCGUUUUACAGUAGCCAAGCUGGCGCGCGCCAAUGUGUACUGUAACGUUUUACAGCCAUGCGUAACGUCAACUUGAUUAACAGAGUUGUGUCUGAAGGUGGAUUAUUUCGUCCCUCUGAGGAAUGUCUCCGUCCUGCUGCCCGCGGGACAACGAUGGUACUAACGUCUUAGAAACUAACUGUACAUAUAGAAACCUCACCGUAGAUGAUGAUGAUGAUGUUGUGUGGACUACUUUUUCGUCUAAUUUUGCACAGAAUGUAUAACAGAUCUUCACUGUUCCUCCUGAUUGUUGGACGACGUGUUCGUCCUGAUUCUGACUUCACGUUUCAUAUCAAUAGACGCCGCAGAAGAAUGGUCGUACCGCACGUUUAAAAUGUGUUUAUCAAACCGAGAGGGUACACGGUGAAGUACACAGGGAAGUACACGGUAAUAAUGCAAAGAGAGGGGAUCUGGUUUUUAAGCGAUGUCGAUCUGGGAACUUUCUGGGAAAGGACCGAGGAGAUAUGAGAUGAGAGACAUGAGAAGCAGCUGAACGUGGCCGUGUUUAUCUGCUGUGUUACGGCCAUUUUUCAGGUGUAAAGUAUCACAGAAUAUUCCUUUAGACGCGAUGAUGUCACUCCACGUUACUGUCACUUCCUGUCAGACAUGAUUAAGCUCCGCCUCCACCGUAUAUCUGUGACAUGUUUUCUCUGCAGCUGCAUUAUUAGUUUUAACUUAAUGAUAAACUCUCCUUCAACACAACCAGUUACUUUCUCAGCCUCUUAUAGAGUAUGUAUAGAGAGGCCAAGUCCCGCCUCUUCCUGUUCUCAGCCUCUUACAGAGUAUGUAUAGAGAGGCCAAGUCCCGCCCCUUCCGGUGUCCACCAAUAAGGGACUUUAUUCUGGAAAAAAUCUACUCAUUUGUUGUUUUUUUUUACGUUAUUGUUGGUAUUUAGUGUCUAAGCAUCAUGGGAGUUGUAGUUGAUCCUGAGCUGGUUGUGUUGAAGGUUCUGUUUGUUGAGUUUUUGUUUCAGCC